UACAGAGGGUGCAAGCGUUAAUCGGAAUGACUGGGCGUAAAGGGCGCGUAGGCGGCUAAUUAAGUUAUAUGUGAAAUGCCUGGGCUUAACCUGGGAUCGGCAUAUAAGACUGGUAGGCUAGAGUAGAGUAGAGGGAAGUGGAAUUUCCGGAGUAGCGGUGAAAUGCGUAGAUAUCGGAAAGAACACCGGUGGCGAAGGCGGCUUCCUGGACUCAUACUGACGCUGAGGCGCGAAAGCGUGGGUAGCAAACAGG
rnacentral:rRNA from 1 species